GGAGCUGUGCCUGAAUAAAAGGACUACUUUGAUAGAGUAGAUAAUGAGGGUUAAAAUCCCUCCAACUCCU
rnacentral:tRNA from 1 species